UAAUACGGAGGGUGCGAGCGUUGCUCGGAAUUAUUGGGCGUAAAGCGUACGCAGGCGGCCGAUCAAGUCGAGUGUGAAAUCCCGGGGCUCAACCCCGGACAUGCAUUCGAGACUGACUGGCUUGAGUGCGGGAGAGGGAAGCGGAAUUCCUGGUGUAGAGGUGAAAUUCGUAGAUAUCAGGAGGAACACCGGUGGCGAAAGCGGCUUCCUGGCCCGACACUGACGCUCAUGUACGAAAGCGUGGGGAGCAAACAGGAUUAGAUACCCUGGUAGUCCACGCCGUAAACGAUGAGUGCUAGCUGCUGGGAAUGUUUACCGUCUCAGUGGCGAAGCUAACGCAUUAAGCACUCCGCCUGGGAAGUACGGCCGCAAGGCUA
rnacentral:rRNA from 1 species